rnacentral:misc_RNA from 1 species
GAUGAAGAACGCAGCGAAAUGCGAUAAGUAGUGUGAAUUGCAGAAUUCAGUGAAUCAUCGAAUAUUUGAACGCACAUUGCGCCCCUUGGUAUUCCAUGGGGCAUGCCUGUUCGAGCGUCAUUUGUACCUUCAAGCUUUGCUUGGUGUUGGGUGUUUGUCCCUCGGGACUCGCCUUAAAGUCAUUGGCAGCCAGUGUUUUGGUUUUGAAGCGCAGCACAAGUCGCGAUUCAAGGCUAUCCGCCCGCUUCCACAAGCCUUUUUCACUUUUGACCUCGGAUCAGGUAGGGAUACCCGCUGAACUUAAGCAUAUCAAUAAGCGGAGGA